rnacentral:ncRNA from 1 species
UCUUAUUACGAGUGGUGGAGGGACUGGCCCUAUGAAACCCAGCAACCUGAUAAACUUUCAUUUAGUUUAUUGUGGUGCUAAAUCCUGCAGGUUUACCUGAUAGAUAAGA